rnacentral:rRNA from 1 species
AUACGGAGGGUGCAAGCGUUACUCGGAAUCACUGGGCGUAAAGCGCGCGCAGGCGGAUUGGCAAGUUGGAUGUGAAAGCCUGCGGCUCAACCGCAGAACUGCAUCCAAAACUGUCAGUCUAGAGUCUGGGAGAGGUAGCUGGAAUUAGUGGUGUAGGGGUAAAAUCCGUAGAGAUCACUAGGAAUACCGAAAGCGAAGGCGAGCUACUGGAACAGUACUGACGCUGAGGCGCGAAAGCGUGGGGAGCAAACAGGAGUAGAAACCCCAGUAGUCC